ACACCAAAGCGCUUACCCAACUGCUGGUGGUAACGCCCGACAUCAACACCCUUAGUUAUGG
rnacentral:sRNA from 1 species